rnacentral:snRNA from 12 species
GCCCGUUGGAAAUGAGGAAGGGGGUUCAGUCGCGACAUUCGUUACCAGUGGUGCUGUAGUGUGGCUGUUAUGCGGUGCUGUCACGUCUACUGGCUGUAAAGAGAUAGUUGUUGUUGAUAACGAUGGAGCGGAAGUUGGAGCGGAAGAUGGAGCAAAAGUUGGAAUAUCGGAUGGAGAAG